rnacentral:rRNA from 1 species
UACGGAGGGGGUUAGCGUUGUUCGGAAUUACUGGGCGUAAAGCGCACGUAGGCGGAUUGGAAAGUUGGGGGUGAAAUCCCGGGGCUCAACCCCGGAACUGCCUCCAAAACUAUCAGUCUAGAGUUCGAGAGAGGUGAGUGGAAUUCCAAGUGUAGAGGUGAAAUUCGUAGAUAUUUGGAGGAACACCAGUGGCGAAGGCGGCUCACUGGCUCGAUACUGAACGCGUGAGGUGCGAAAGUGU